AAAGGAAAGCCUUAACUUAUUUUAUUUUACCUUUAACUACUAAAUACACAAUUUAAAAGAUCUGCCUACCACUUAAAAUGGAAUAUCUCUUAAAAACUAAAAAUGUAAAAAAACUGUGGACCUUUCAUAGUUGAGAAGUGUAUGCCAAUUAUUUGGAUGUGAAAAUACUCUGGUUCUCCUUUCUAAGCCCAAAGGUAGUUAGUUAUAAAGACUUGCAAAUAGCGAUGUUAGUGCUAGUAACUCUGAACAGACAGAAAUAGUUUACAAAAGUAGUCACAAUUUUUUUAAAAACUAAGAAAGCAACAUCUAUUAGACAUUUGCUACCAUUUUGGUCCUCUUAUUAUAUGAAUGGAGUUAUACUAAGUACAAUCACCUUCAGAAUUUCAACAAUGGUCUAAUUUAAAUGGCCAAUAUCCCACACUUUACUUAUUAUAGCAUUCAAUUGACUAUUUUUGUCUGUUCUGAGGUCAGGAAUAGAAAGUAUAUCAAGAUGACAAAGCACAGCAUAAUACCUUCAAAAUUAGAUAUAAUAGCCUCUUAUAAAAACAUACAUUCAUGAAUAACUCCCUAUUCGGUUUCUGAAUAUAUUAUUAAAUGCAUAUAGUCUUUUUAAUAUAUACCAUAUCUUUUUGACAAAAAUAAAAACAAAACACCUCAAUUAUUAAAAAGCAUUACCAUUUUGUAUAAAUACCUGCUACUUCUAACUUAAUGGUGUUUCUGUUUUAAAUCCUUGAAGAUGUAAAUUAAUUUAAAAGAUAUAAAACAAAUUUGUUUAUGUAAUAUUUCUCCAGACAUCCUAACAGUAGUAACUAUACUUCAAAGAAAACUGGGAACAAUUCUGCUAAACUGCCU
rnacentral:lncRNA from 1 species